rnacentral:piRNA from 1 species
UAGUUGGUCACAUUGAACUAAAGCCUUCUGC